UAUCUCUCUCCAGAAAAGAACGCCUUAUCCUAAUCUCCUUUCCUCGUCUCAACCUGGUGGUGGCGAAGAACCAGAGGGCCACGGCCGCCGCCGGUGUCGUAGCCCGGGGUGUCGAGGGAGAGGCGACGGACUGGAGGAACCAGGCGAGCCGGUCGGCGGGUAACCGGAGCAGCAGCGCCAUCGUCUCCUCCCUUCGUCUUUCUUCUAGAUGGAGCGGGGUCGGCCAGCUGCCGCAUCCCCGUCGAGGAAGGGGCCACAGAGCUCACGCCGGAGAGUGGCCUAGUGCUUAGGUAAGGCUGCAGCUGCGCCGUCGUGUGGUCUGCUGACACCAAGGGCUGGUCCAUCGCCGGGGCGUGCAUCAGCAGCGACGCCUCCGAGAUUGGCCACCCGCCAUGGAUGUUCCUCUGGUCUGACCCUAGUGCCAUGGAACAAGUCAAGCACGCAUGGCAGCAGAUCGCUGCAGCCAUCCUUCUCACCUGGGAAGGAGGAGAUCCAUCAGCAGCAGCCCAGGUUCGUCUCUCUUUUUCCUCGUCCCUGCUCAGGUUCUGUGUGUUGCUGCUAGAUCCUCAAGUGUGAGUUUAGCCUGCUAGAUGUGUAUACUAGUUUCAGUUUAUCUAGAAGAAGAGGGGAGUGAGGAGACCAGUUUCGCUCGUGUCUUGCUCAAUUCUGUACUAGUUUCUCAUCAAGUGUCCCAUGACAUGGGUUAGGUGGAUGGAUGGAUACAUAUAUCUAGCAAAAUGAACAUGAGUAAUUAUUGUCUACUGAUUAAGCCGAUUGAUGCAAGGUGUUCAUAUAUCUAUCUAUCUAUGUGUUACUACUUCUAGGAAAUGGAAUCAGUGUUUUUGCUUGGAGAUUGUACUGAUUUUUACGACCAGGAAUUUUUUUUGUUUUUUGCAUUCUAGCUACCUCACUUUUUAGCAUGAGUUGCCUAGAGUUCCAAUUCCCCAACCCCCUUGCUUCUCCAUCUACUCCAACUUGUUCUAUCUAACCUGCUCCGAACUGCUGCAGGAUCUACUCAAUUUUGAUCCUUUUCUUAGUGCCUGCCAGUAGUUGCUUCAAAAUUUAGCAUCAGUUGCUUGAAAUUAUAGGCAAAGUUGUUGCAUUUUUUUACUUUUGCACACGAGAUCAUGUGUUAUCAUUUUUGUUUAGAAGGAUCAUGUUUGAGGGAACUUGGUGGGCAGAACAAAUCAACAUAUACAAGUAUAAGUCUAUCAUAUGCUCUGCUCUGUCUCUUGAUUGAUGACAACAGAAUUCAGUAGGAGUACCGUUUGUUCAUCCAAUUGAUAAUUCAUUCAUGAACUGCCACUGUUUUUGCGAGAUGAAUAAUGGGCUAGAUUCAGAGAUAAGUGAAUUUUGCCUACAUAUAGAAUUAGAUUGCCACUGUUUUUUUUAUAAAAUGAAAUGAAUGUGCUCCAUGCAACUCAGGGGGUUUUGGUGUUGAUUUUGCAUGAGAUACAACUGAUUUCAAUGUCAUAAACACAUUUUUUUGUGCAACUUGUUGCUUCAAAGCAUGUGUAGUUGCUCAAGUUUAUAAUAUGGGUUGCCUGGAAUUAAACGAAAGGUUACUUUAAUUUUUACUAAAUCUAUAGGGCCUGGAAACAGGGGGAGGUGCGGAUUUUGUACUCCGCUGAGUGGCUUCUCUUGUGACGGGCGUCACGCCUGAUAUGGGGAUUGAAGGGGGUUGGGCAGCAUUGGAUUCGGAAGGCGACUUUCCACUCCAAGGAUAGAAUAGUUACUUGGAUUUCGUUAAAAGAGUUGCAUUUUGUGCGUGUACCGCAGUUGCUUAGUUUUGUUGGGGCAGUUGCUCGGAUUCGUUUUUGAACAUUUUUGUUGCAUUUUUGCCUCUUGUAAUGCAGUUGCUUGGUUUUCCUAGGACAGUUGCUUCCUUUUUACUAGAACAGCUUUGCAUUUUUGUGUUUUUUAAUUGAGUUUCUUGGAUUUUUGCUAGGCUAGAUGAGAAGUUGCAUGGAGAGGGGGUCAGAUAGUUUUCCACAAAGGUUAUUCAAGUUUCUCACACCUUUUUUUUCUUCCUAAAGUAGUAGAUAAUCUAAGUAGUAAUACUAGGGACAGUUACCUAUUUUUGCUAGGACAAUUUCACACUUUUCUGUUUCGAGUUGCUUGGAUUGUUUGCUGUAAGUUUUUUAGAUUAUCAUCUCAGAUUUGAAUACGCAUGUAGACUGAGAAGAUACAUCUAUGAAGUAGUUCCUGAUGGCCUAUAACUGAUGCGAUGAUUGAUUUGCAUGGCUAUCAUCCCGAUCCUCCUCCCGUCGACGCGCUCCGUGUGAAGCACACCAUCGCCCCACCCUCCACCCUAAAGUAGAUGCUAGGGGAGUUGCUUGAUUUUUCUAGGACAAUUGCUUGGUUUUGCUAGGGUAGUUGCUUGUUUUUCUUGCUAGAACAAUUUUUGCAUUUUGUGUACUUUUGUAGUUGAGUUGUUUGGAUUUUUGCUAGAACAGAUGAGAAGUUACAUGAAGGAGGGGGGAUAAGAUAGUUGUCCACAAAGGUUAUUCAACUUACUCAUAUGUUUUUUUUCUGCCUAAAAUAGACAAUCUAAGUAGUAGUGCCAGAGACAUCUGCUUGUUUCUGCUACAACAGUUUCCCACUUUUUGCGUUUCUUUGUAAUCGAAUUGCUUUGAUCUUCUGCUACAACAUACGAGAAGGUGGAUGAGAGGGGAGUUGCUUGGUUUUGCUAGGACAUUUUUUUCAUAAAAGGUUAUUCAAGUUGCUCAUACAUUUUUUCCUCUGCCUAAAAUUGAUGGUAGGGGAGUUGCUUGGUUUUGCUAGGACAAUUGCUUGGUUUUGCUAGGGCAGUUGUUUGUUUUUUUGCUAGAACAAUUUUGCAUUUUUGUGUUUUUUAUAUUGAGUUAUAAGCAAAAGGGCUGCUCAACCUGAUGUUUCACAGGGUGAAAUGCUGGAUCGACAUGAGGUACCCAUGGUUUUUUCAGGUUUUUUUGAUGAAACGGUGAAGAUGAAGAAGGAAAGCAACCGGAACGGGCGAAGAGAGGUGGAUAGGAAGUAAUUCUAAAAAAUACUGUAUUAGUAGAUUAAGUUGCAUCAGAAUAUAUAUGGAGCUGCUUAGUUCACAUCAACAGUUGCAUAAAAAUGCCUGGAACAUAUUUUUGCUUUUUUAACAGUUGUCCAUGAAUCACACUAAAGUUGCCUAUGUUAGAGAAUAUAUAUAUUGUCUCUACUUGUUGUUUUUGUGGGUUUUUUUUCGCACAAGGGUUGCCUGAUAUUACUGCAAGGAGCUUAUGGGGCAGCAACCCCUCUUUUAAUGCAUGACACUAGUUGCUUCAAAUUUUAAAAGAGUUGUCCGAAAUCAUAGCAAAGUUGUUGCAUGUAUUUUUACUUUUGUUUGGGGAUGCAUGCUACUUUUUAAUGCAAGGAACUCAUAUGGGGCACCAGACCUUUUUUAUAUGCCUGAUAGUAGUUGGACUCAUUGGAUGGUUAAAAGUGUCUACAGAGGCAGAUUCUGAUAUUUGGGGCGUUUUGGUGAUCCACGUUGGAGCUGACCUUAUGAUAGGCGAUUUAAAGGUGAAGCUAGUCAAUUGAUAGUCAUGGUAACCAACUUAUAAGGAUCCUCCGUUGAUGGGUAGUCAUACUAGGUGGAAAAAGGAGUUGCUUUUCUAUAACACUAAAGUUGCCUCUACAGCACAUAAAGUUGCUUAGAAAAAAAAGUUCGGCGAAACCUACUCACAUGGGAUCUAGUUUUGAAGAACUCAUCACGAGAAACCCAACGGUGAAAACGGAUUUGAAUUUUGAGAUUCUAUUCAAAAGUUAUAAGUUUUUAAAGUUUUUGAUCCCCUAAUAAAUGCAGGUGUGAUGGAUAGCGUGAGCACAUAGGACCUGACAUUUUUGUGUGUGGACAUGGCGUGGUAGUUUUGACAGUUUUUUUUAUUCGCAUGCGAGCGAUCCUCACGUGAUUCGCGUAGGGGCUGUUCUUUCCUUGUUCUUCGGCUGCAUGGUCGCGCGCCGGAUGCCCCUUCCCUUUUCUGAUAGAGCUGCGAUCGGGCGGCCGUGCGCCCGUGUGACAGCGAGCCGCGACGUCCACACACAACCGGCCCUAUAAUAGCGCGACGGAGAUGUUACGCGAUUCGCAGAAAACUGAAAAAAAAAAGCCCACGAACAGAGCCCCCAGUCAACCUUAUCCCGCACCACCACCACUCGUUCGCCUCGCAACCGGCUCCACCAACCCUCGACUCGCCGCCGCCCCCGACCGGUGCCGCCACCGUCCGUCGCCGUGGAUCGCACCGCCGCCACCGUGUCUCGCUGCGGAUCACGCCGCCGCCACCGUCCUUCGCUUGAAUCGCGCCGCCGCCACCAUCCCUCGAUGGAGAGCGCCCCCCGCUCGACUGCCCCCGCCCAUGGGUCCCGCCGCCGGUCUCCUCCUGCAACCCCGCCGCCACCGUUCCCUGGACCCGGCAGCCGCUCCGCCACCCGCCUCGGAUCCGGCCAUGGCGCCGCCCCCCACCGCGGGAUCCGGCCGCCGCGACGUCACCGUCCAUCGCCCAGUGGUGCAACACCCAACUCACGGAGUUCCCCAUCGCCGCCGACACUCCGGCGAACUUCCUUGCCACCUCGCGGUGGACCUCUCCCUGCUGCUCCCGCGACCUUCGCCAGCGUACUUCAACCCCGCGGGCAGAGUCCCCACUCCUCCCACACCGCAAUAGAGCAUGGCUUGCCCCACGGUCCGUUCGUCCUCGGCGUCCCGCCAUGUUCGCUGCCGAGAUGCCAUCUCCCUGUCCACAUCUGAGGAUCCUUCGUUUGUCCUGGGGUAUUUCCCCGCCGUCCGUUGUCGAGGGCGAUUGCGGCUACAUUCCCCGCUGACGAGUCGCACUGCCGUACUUCCUCAAGAUCCAUGUCGUCUUAGCCUAUAGGGAAGCGGCAGGAAUUCGUACUACUUUUACAUUUAAGAAUUGGAUCCGUGAUGGGCAUCCACACAGUGUGCCUCUGUUCCCAGGAGGAUGCAGCGGCAGUCGGAUUUGCUUCGUAAAAAAUUGUAUUUGGAUGAAUUCCUACAAAAAGAAUGUUUGGCAGGUCAGAUACAAAAUAAACUGAAGUUCAAAAAGAUAGCAGACUGGGAUCGAAAAACAGGAGAACUUUGUAACAAAAAAUAGUAGUUGAACAAAGUUUCUACGGCAUAUGUAGAAUUAGAUCAAGAAGAAAAAAGAUAACACUAAAAGACUCUACGUGAUGCACAGAGUACUAGUUGUACAUGUAUUGGGCAUGUACAAAUUGGAACAUCUACUGUAGGAGUGUUUGGUUUUUACAUGUAUUUCCUUUUGUUUCAAGUAGUACUACUACUCCACCAGCCAAUUGUAUAUUAUUCUUUCUUCCGGUGAAA